rnacentral:sRNA from 1 species
GCCGGGCGUGGUAGCAGGCACCUGUAGUCCCACCUACUCGGGAGGCUGAAGCAGGAGAAUGGCGUGAACCCGGGAGGCAGAGCUUGCAGUGAGCUGAGAUCGCGCCACUGCACUCCAGCCUGGGCGACAGAGCGAGACUCCAUCUCAAAAAAAAAAAAAAAAAAAAAGGCCAAAAGAUG